rnacentral:rRNA from 1 species
GUGGGGAAUAUUGGGCAAUGGGGGAAACCCUGACCCAGCAACGCCGCGUGAAGGAAGAAGGCUUUCGGGUUGUAAACUUCUUUUAUGAGGGAAGAUAAUGACGGUACCUCAUGAAUAAGCCACGGCUAACUACGUGCCAGCAGCCGCGGUAAUACGUAGGUGGCAAGCGUUGUCCGGAUUUACUGGGUGUAAAGGGCGUGUAGGCGGGACUGCAAGUCAGAUGUGAAAUUUCGGGGCUCAACCCCGAAACUGCAUUUGAAACUGUGGUUCUUGAGUAUCGGAGAGGCAGGCGGAAUUCCUAGUGUAGCGGUGAAAUGCGUAGAUAUUAGGAGGAACACCAGUGGCGAAGGCGGCCUGCUGGACGACAACUGACGCUGAGGCGCGAAAGCGUGGGGAGCAAACAGGAUUAGAUACCCGGGUAGUCC